UACGUAGGGUGCAAGCGUUGUCCGGAAUUAUUGGGCGUAAAGAGCUCGUAGGCGGCUCGUCACGUCGGCUGUGAAAACCCGGGCUCAACCCGGGCCUGCAGUCGAUACGGGCGAGCUAGAGUUCGGCAGGGGAGACUGGAAUUCCUGGUGUAGCGGUGAAAUGCGCAGAUAUCAGGAGGAACACCGGUGGCGAAGGCGGGUCUCUGGGCCGAUACUGACGCUGAGGAGCGAAAGCAUGGGUAGCGAACAGG
rnacentral:rRNA from 1 species